rnacentral:tRNA from 1 species
GGCUGUGGCUCAGUGGUAGAGCUGCUUGCUUAGCAUGUAUGAGGCGCUGGGUUCGAUCCUCAGCACCA